rnacentral:rRNA from 1 species
GACGAACGCUGGCGGCGUGCUUAACACAUGCAAGUCGAACGGAAGGGCCCUGCUUUUGUGGGGUGCUCGAGUGGCGAACGGGUGAGUAACACGUGAGUAACCUGCCCUUGACCUUGGGAUAACUUCAGGAAACUGGGGCUAAUACCGGAUAGGAGCUCCUGCUGCAUGGUGGGGGUUGGAAAGUUUCGGCGGUUGGGGAUGGACUCGCGGCUUAUCAGCUUGUUGGUGGGGUAGUGGCUUACCAAGGCUUUGACGGGUAGCCGGCCUGAGAGGGUGACCGGCCACAUUGGGACUGAGAUACGGCCCAGACUCCUACGGGAGGCAGCAGUGGGGAAUAUUGCACAAUGGGCGGAAGCCUGAUGCAGCAACGCCGCGUGCGGGAUGACGGCCUUCGGGUUGUAAACCGCUUUCGCCUGUGACGAAGCGUGAGUGACGGUAAUGGGUAAAGAAGCACCGGCUAACUACGUG